rnacentral:rRNA from 1 species
UACAUGCAAGUCGAACGAGUUCUGAUUAUUGAAAGGUGCUUGCAUCUUGAUUUAAUUUUGAACGAGUGGCGGACGGGUGAGUAACACGUGGGUAACCUGCCCUUAAGUGGGGGAUAACAUUUGGAAACAGAUGCUAAUACCGCAUAAAUCCAAGAACCGCAUGGUUCUUGGCUGAAAGAUGGCGUAAGCUAUCGCUUUUGGAUGGACCCGCGGCGUAUUAGCUAGUUGGUGAGGUAACGGCUCACCAAGGCAAUGAUACGUAGCCGAACUGAGAGGUUGAUCGGCCACAUUGGGACUGAGACACGGCCCAAACUCCUACGGGAGGCAGCAGUAGGGAAUCUUCCACAAUGGACGCAAGUCUGAUGGAGCAACGCCGCGUGAGUGAAGAAGGCUUUCGGGUCGUAAAACUCUGUUGUUGGAGAAGAAUGGUCGGCAGAGUAACUGUUGUCGGCGUGACGGUAUCCAACCAGAAAGCCACGGCUAACUACGUGCCAGCAGCCGCGGUAAUACGUAGGUGGCAAGCGUUAUCCGGAUUUAUUGGGCGUAAAGCGAGCGCAGGCGGUUUUUUAAGUCUGAUGUGAAAGCCCUCGGCUUAACCGAGGAAGUGCAUCGGAAACUGGGAAACUUGAGUGCAGAAGAGGACAGUGGAACUCCAUGUGUAGCGGUGAAAUGCGUAGAUAUAUGGAAGAACACCAGUGGCGAAGGCGGCUGUCUGGUCUGUAACU